GAUGAACGCUGGCGGCGUGCCUAAUACAUGCAAGUCGAGCGAACUGAUUAGAAGCUUGCUUCUAUGACGUUAGCGGCGGACGGGUGAGUAACACGUGGGCAACCUGCCUGUAAGACUGGGAUAACUUCGGGAAACCGAAGCUAAUACCGGAUAGGAUCUUCUCCUUCAUGGGAGAUGAUUGAAAGAUGGUUCCGGCUAUCACUUACAGAUGGGCCCGCGGUGCAUUAGCUAGUUGGUGAGGUAACGGCUCACCAAGGCAACGAUGCAUAGCCGGCCUGAGAGGGCGAUCGGCCACGCUGGGACUGAGACACGGCCCCGACUCCUACGGGAGGCAGCAGUAGGGAAUCUUCCGCAAUGGACGAAAGUCUGACGGAGCAACGCCGCGUGAGUGAUGAAGGCUUUCGGGUCAUAAAACUCUGUUGUUAGGGAAGAACAAGUACGAGAGUAACUGCUCGUACCUUGACGGUACCUAACCAGAAAGCCACGGCUAACUACGUGCCAGCAGCCGCCGUAAUAC
rnacentral:rRNA from 1 species